rnacentral:rRNA from 12 species
UAACGGCUCACCAAGUCAGCGAUCCAUAGCUGGUUUGAGAGGAUGAUCAGCCACACUGGGACUGAGACACGGCCCAGACUCCUACGGGAGGCAGCAGUGGGGAAUAUUGGACAAUGGGGGCAACCCUGAUCCAGCCAUGCCGCGUGAGUGAAGAAGGCCUUCGGGUUGUAAAGCACUUUCAGUUGUGAGGAAAAGUUAGUAGUUAAUACCUGCUAGCCGUGACGUUAACAACAGAAGAAGCACCGGCUAACUCCGUGC